UUCGCCCUUUUCCGGUUGAUCCUGCCGGACCCGACUGCUAUCAGAGUGAGAUUAAGCCAUGCGAGUCAACGUAGCAAUACGUGGCAUACGGCUCAGUAACACGUAGUCAACAUAACCAAAGGACGUGGAUAAACUCGGGAAACUGAGGCUAAACCGCGAUAGAUCAAGAUACCUGGAAUGGUUUUUGAUCAAAAUCUAUAUGGCCUUUGGAUUGGACUGCGUCCGAUCAGGCUGUUGGUGAGGUAAUGGCCCACCAAACCUAUAACCGGUACGGGCUCUGAGAGGAGGAGCCCGGAGAUGGGUACUGAGAUAAGGACCCAGGCCCUAUGGGGCGCAGCAGGCGCGAAACCUCUGCAAUAGGCGAAAGCUUGACAGGGUUAUUCUGAGUGACUUUCGUUAAGAAAGUCUUUUGACACCUCUAAAAAUGGUGUAGAAUAAGGGGUGGGCAAGUCUGGUGUCAGCCGCCGCGGUAAUACCAGCACCCCGAGUGGUCGGGACGAUUAUUGGGCCUAAAGCAUCCGUAGCCGGCCUUACAAGUCCUCCGUUAAAUCCAGCUGCUUAACAGAUGGGCUGCGGAGGAUACUAUAAGACUAGGAGGCAGGAGAGGCAAGCGGUACUCAAUGGGUAGGGGUAAAAUCCGUUGAUCCAUUGAAGACCACCAGUGGCGAAGGCGGCUUGCCAGAAUGCGCUCGACGGUGAGGGAUGAAAGCUGGGGGAGCAAACCGGAUUAGAUACC
rnacentral:rRNA from 1 species